rnacentral:lncRNA from 1 species
CAGAUCGAGAAGUCUUGAAUCCUAACUUCAUCGAGGCAAAUUUUCUGCAGUUAAUUAGCAAUACAUAAGCAGUGUUUUGAGUGAUAAGAAGAUAUAUCUGUAUCUGCUGUUACUUUUCUGUAUCCUAAUUACCAGCAACUGUCAUGAAAGUGGCCUACAUCAGAAGAGCUGAUUAUGAGUGAAGUUCUGUGACCCAUCUUAAUACUAUCUUUAGUAUUCUGAAAGACGGUAUACAGAAAAGAGUUACCACAACUCGUUUCUCCGUAUUUCAAAUUCUUGCGAAGGCAUUUUAAAUGAGCUAAUAGCUGAAGUUUUGAAAGCCAGAAGUGAAGUCUUGAAAUCUUCUAUAAAUUUACAUUUUGAUUACCUGUAAAAAUGUAGAACUAUUAAACUGAAUUACAUGCCUUUU